GCUGAAAUAGCUCAACUGUGAGAGUGUUAGACUGAAGAUCUAAAGGUCCCUGGUUCAAUUCCAGAUUUCAGAA